GCAUCUUUUUCCAAGACCUCUUGAUCAGUGAUCACCUUUGGCUGCAAAAUUUGAACGCUUUUCUUGUCUAUCAUUUGAUCACCACGUGACUGGUACUAACAAAGAAAGCUGAAUGGUGAAGCCACUGAACAAAGGAUCUGUAGAUUGCGAAUCCAGAAGAUAUUUUUGUUUGCUUUAAUAAUAUGGAUUAAAAGAAUUUUUUCAUCAGACUGAAGAAAAUACUACUAGAGACUGGAACGUUUGAGGAUAUGACACUCCAAGAGUGUAAUCAGUGGAUGGACGGUCCGAGGUGCUACCAAUAACUUGAUGUUGAAGAGGUGCUUGCUGGGCGGUAAAUAUUUGUUGAAUCUGUGGCGUAUGUGUUCCAGGAAAAGCCCAUAGUCGAUGUGGAUCAUACAUGUCUAAAACAAGUAAAAUCAUCUUACAGGUGCUAACAUUUCAAAGCAUUUCUUUUUCUACUACAGUAAGAAUUAUUUUCUGUGUGUUGUUUUCUUUCCCAUUAGGGAAUUUUUCAGUCGUUUAGAAACGUCACCAGCUGAAGGAGAAGUGCCACAAAUUUUAACUUGCGCAUGGCUAUCAAGGCCUUAGCAGACAACUACCGUGACCUCCGCUUUCAAGGUCAUAUCCGACAGACUCGAAGCUUUCACUUCUAAUGCUGAGUGCUUGGCGGAGGAACAGUCACUUACUUAACGCCUUAGGGGUUUUAUGCGGCGCCGGGAAGUACGAAUUAUAAAGAAAAAGUGGAAUGGUCAAGGGAAGCUGAUUUCCUUCAAUCGAAGUUGUUGAUGUAGGAAUAUUGGUGCUGAGGUUGAAGGCCGGAAGUUGUGAGAGCCAUGGUGACUGGCCGAUUGUGGAAUGCCCGGACUGAAUCCAUGGUGGUGAAAAAUGUCUCGCGGAUGGGUCAUCUGCCCAAGCUAUUCCCGUACCAUUUGCGGAACCUUAUAAAAAUUAUAAACACAUGUUUUACACUUUUAUUUCUUAUCGUAAUAGAUUUACAACACGUUUUUAGUAGAUUGCAUGUAUUACUUUCAAUAUUACACAUUGUCAAACUAUCAGUUGAAGAUUUUCAACUAACAAAUUUUUAUUAACUUUUAUAAAUAAUAUUCAGAUCAUGUUUAAUGUUUGUAUUUAUAGAAGAUGUGCAUGUUUUGGAAAAGUAUUUUUUAAUUUUCAAGUAGGGAAGUACCUGUUACAAUUAAAUUUGCCGGAAGCUGAUUACGCAUGUCAGCAAUUGAGGUACUUGGGGUGGUAGAUUUCGACAAUGUCCGUUGGUUAGAUACCACUUGUACACUGGAAAGGAAACCUCUAUUAAAGUGGAAUUUCCAUUUCAAUGAAAAGAUUCAAAGCGAUAUAUUUGAGUAAUAUAGUGAAAUUUAAUCAUGCAAACAUGAUAUCUGAGGAAAUAAAUCACUAUUUGCUAGCAAAAUAAAAAAAUCAUAAA